GCAGUCGAGCGAACAGAUAAGGAGCUUGCUCCUUUGACGUUAGCGGCGGACGGGUGAGUAACACGUGGGUAACCUACCUAUAAGACUGGGAUAACUUCGGGAAACCGGAGCUAAUACCGGAUAACAUUUGGAACCGCAUGGUUCUAAAGUGAAAGAUGGUUUUGCUAUCACUUAUAGAUGGACCCGCGCCGUAUUAGCUAGUUGGUAAGGUAACGGCUUACCAAGGCGACGAUACGUAGCCGACCUGAGAGGGUGAUCGGCCACACUGGAACUGAGACACGGUCCAGACUCCUACGGGAGGCAGCAGUAGGGAAUCUUCCGCAAUGGGCGAAAGCCUGACGGAGCAACGCCGCGUGAGUGAUGAAGGGUUUCGGCUCGUAAAACUCUGUUAUUAGGGAAGAACAAAUGUGUAAGUAACUGUGCACGUCUUGACGGUACCUAAUCAGAAAGCCACGGCUAACUACGUGCCAGCAGCCGCGGUAAUACGUAGGUGGCAAGCGUUAUCCGGAAUUAUUGGGCGUAAAGCGCGCGUAGGCGGUUUCUUAAGUCUGAUGUGAAAGCCCACGGCUCAACCGUGGAGGGUCAUUGGAAACUGGGAAACUUGAGUGCAGAAGAGGAAAGUGGAAUUCCAUGUGUAGCGGUGAAAUGCGCAGAGAUAUGGAGGAACACCAGUGGCGAAGGCGACUUUCUGGUCUGUAACUGACGCUGAUGUGCGAAAGCGUGGGGAUCAAACAGGAUUAGAUACCCUGGUAGUCCACGCCGUAAACGAUGAGUGCUAAGUGUUAGGGGGUUUCCGCCCCUUAGUGCUGCAGCUAACGCAUUAAGCACUCCGCCUGGGGAGUACGACCGCAAGGUUGAAACUCAAAGGAAUUGACGGGGACCCGCACAAGCGGUGGAGCAUGUGGUUUAAUUCGAAGCAACGCGAAGAACCUUACCAAAUCUUGACAUCCUUUGAAAACUCUAGAGAUAGAGCCUUCCCCUUCGGGGGACAAAGUGACAGGUGGUGCAUGGUUGUCGUCAGCUCGUGUCGUGAGAUGUUGGGUUAAGUCCCGCAACGAGCGCAACCCUUAAGCUUAGUUGCCAUCAUUAAGUUGGGCACUCUAGGUUGACUGCCGGUGACAAACCGGAGGAAGGUGGGGAUGACGUCAAAUCAUCAUGCCCCUUAUGAUUUGGGCUACACACGUGCUACAAUGGACAAUACAAAGGGCAGCUAAACCGCGAGGUCAUGCAAAUCCCAUAAAGUUGUUCUCAGUUCGGAUUGUAGUCUGCAACUCGACUACAUGAAGCUGGAAUCGCUAGUAAUCGUAGAUCAGCAUGCUACGGUGAAUACGUUCCCGGGUCUUGUACACACCGCCCGUCACACCACGAGAGUUUGUAACACCCGAAGCCGGUGGAGUAACCAUU
rnacentral:rRNA from 1 species